GCUACACCUGUGACAUAUGGAAGUUCCUGGGCCAGGGGUCAAAUCAGAGCUGCAGCUGCCACCUAAACCACAGCUUGCUGCAAUGCUGGACCCUUAACCCACUGAGUGAGGCCAGGGAUCAAACCCAUACUCUCGUGGUGACUAUGUCAGGUCCUUAAACUGCUGAGCUACAAUGAGAACUCUAUACUGCCUAUUCUCUUGCUUUUCCAAAUUCCCUGGAUGCAGAAGGGAGACCAACUCAAACCAUUCCAUUUUAUUCCUGUUUUAGAAGCACCUCCUUAAAUGUUAGUUUUGAAAAGCCUAGAACUGGCAGCAAAAUGGACUUUUCAGAUGAUCUAAGAAUUGAAAAACUCAGGCUGCUUCUGAAAUGUACAUGAGAAAGUGCCUGCCUUCUACACGCAAAGCAACCCUCUGUGGAAGAGAUUCAGACUCAGAGCUCAGCCACCGAGUUUGAUGCUUUGAGACUAAUUAUUGACAAAAGGAUAUAAAGUUGAAAAUUUUAAAACAAUUGGCCAUCAGUGUACAAGUGUAAUGAGAACUGCUUCUUUCACCAACAAGUAAGCUUAAUUCUGAAUUACUUGGAAAUAGUUGGAAACUUUCUCAAGAUAAAGUUUUGGUGGGAGAGUUGGGACUUCGGGUCAGACAGACCUGCAGACUUUAUCCUUCAUUCUGUGAGGUCCUGGGAAACCCACGAGAGCUCAGUUUCUUGUAAAAUGGGGACGGUAACACCUUUAAAGGGCUGGGGUGGGGAUCAAACCAGAAAAUCACACGGUGCAAAUGCUUUUAACUAACAGUGAGAACGGGUGAGCCCAAGACACCUCAGUUCUGCUUCUCCUUACCCUUCCUGGUCUCAGGAAGAGAAUUUCUGCACAUGUCUUAAGCAUUCCUGCAAGAGUUCCUUUCUGAUUCAACAUCUAAAAAAAACUGAGUUGGGGCUAAAAUUUUUGGUAACUGGUGAUCCAAGAAACAAGUCAAAGACAUGGAAGCACCGAAGUCAAGUUAACAGCCUGGUCUUUGGUACCUUGAAGAGAAAACCAAUUUAACUGACUAGACUUUGAAUACAGAGGCUUCUUUCCCAAUGAUUGCUGGACAGAAGUGUUAAUUGUUACCUACACAACCGUAAAAUUAGUCAGCAACUUCCAGCUAAAGCUCCCAUUCCAAACAAUCAGAGAAUAAGUGGAAACCAAAUCCUCCCAAUCAAGCUUAAGAACAGGAUGAGAAAUAAGAACACGGCACCCGCCAGUCAUGAGGAAGGUGAGGAUUUAAAUCCUUGGGGGACAGAAUUCUGGUGCUUCUGCCUUUAUCCUGCUCCUCGGAUAUACCCCAUGCUGGGAGUUUACAAUGCAAAGCUGCCAAGGCAGGGACGUGCAGGAAAUGAGAAAUCACAGCUGGGCCUGUGGGCUGGCGGUGUCUGAUUUCUGUCAGGAGGGAACCCAGCAGGAAGAGGACAGACUCAAAAACAAUGCAGCUGCCCACUUUCCUUCCACGGAAAUUGCAUCUGCCCUGCAAUGCGACCUCAAUGCACAAGUCCUCCUUGGGGUGGAGGGAGCUCUUGGCAAUUGUGUUUUCUGCCUUGAGCCUCGUUCACAACGAUGGGUCAUCUCAUUGGCAUCCUGGUUUUGUUUGGGGUUCAUUUGCAAUUUGGGUUGUUGAGAACCGAAUCAAUCAGUCCGAAGGGGAUUAGAGAACAAUCUUCCCCAUCCCUCCUCUCCACACUUGGAGGAGCCUCCCACCCCUCCCCCACGCCUCAGUCCUUGCUGCUGGGACUAAAUCUACAAGCGUGCCAGUGCCAUUAACUGACAUUCAUCAAAACACUCUCCAUUGUUCGCAGACAUGAGCGGCCGAGAGGUGGAAAUUACUUGGCAUUUCAUUUUAAUCUGUAUUGAAGACUUGCCUGACAAAACAUAUUAAGUGUAAGAAUUGCCGGCUGGGAAUGAAGCUCUGUUUAUGGAAUGCCCCAUAUUUUCCCUUUGCUAAAGGAAAGGCACUGACAUGCUCCCCCUCCUUCCCCACCUUCUACAGCUCGCCAGCCACCACCCCACCAUCAUCAUCAUGAAACCUUAACAUUUCAUUUCCUUUGUGAGUGCCGCUUUGGUUAGCAGUGUUGAUAAAAUUGUAAUAGACAUUCGGUGCCUCUGCACCAGCAUCUAAGAUUAAAAACAAGAACACCCCCCCAA
rnacentral:lncRNA from 1 species